rnacentral:rRNA from 1 species
GUGGGGAAUACUGGACAAUGGGCGAAAGCCUGAUCCAGCCAUGCCGCGUGUGUGAAGAAGGUCUUCGGAUUGUAAAGCACUUUAAGUUGGGAGGAAGGGCAGUAAGUUAAUACCUUGCUGUUUUGACGUUACCGACAGAAUAAGCACCGGCUAACUUCGUGCCAGCAGCCGCGGUAAUACGAAGGGUGCAAGCGUUAAUCGGAAUUACUGGGCGUAAAGCGCGCGUAGGUGGUUUUGUAAGUUGGAGGUGAAAUCCCCGGGCUCAACCUGGGAACUGCCUCCAAAACUGCAUGACUAGAGUACGGUAGAGGGUAGUGGAAUUUCCUGUGUAGCGGUGAAAUGCGUAGAUAUAGGAAGGAACACCAGUGGCGAAGGCGACUACCUGGACUGAUACUGACACUGAGGUGCGAAAGCGUGGGGAGCAAACAGGAUUAGAAACCCCAGUAGUCC